rnacentral:tRNA from 3 species
GCCGGGGUCGCCUAGAGGUAUGCGCAAGCACUCUAAAGGGCGGCAGCCUGCUAAGCUGUUUGGCUGAAAGGCCUUCGUGGGUUCGAUUCCCACCCCCGGCG